rnacentral:rRNA from 1 species
UGAGGAACAUGACCUUCGGCGGGGGAUAGCCGGCCCAACGGCCGGGUAAUACCGCGUACGACCUCGG